rnacentral:misc_RNA from 1 species
GCAGAUUUUCGAAGGCUCUCGCUGGCAUUAACAACCGAAGAGGCAGGAACAAUACCACCUGGAUGAGCAGACGGGGAAACUUCAAACUGGAAAACUUCAGUACACAUGCCAGAGUUCAAAACUGGGCCUGCCAAUCCUUCACGGAACCAUUGUUGGAGCGGUCCAUCCACAGGAGUUGAUUUCAAUGAAUCUGAAUAUGCAUCUCUUUGUUGUUCCACUGUAUUCCUAUACGACUUCCUAGCUUGAGAAAUGGCUAACGCAGAAGCAAUACUACCCGAUG